UAGUUGGUAAGGUAACGGCUUACCAAGGCGACGAUCAGUAGCCGACCUGAGAGGGUGAUCGGCCACAUUGGACCUGAGACACGGUCCAAACUCCUACGGGAGGCAGCAGUGGGGAAUAUUGCACAAUGGGCGAAAGCCUGAUGCAGCAACGCCGCGGGAGUGAUGAAGGCCUUCGGGUCGUAAAACUCUGUCCUCAAGGAAGAUAAUGACGGUACUUGAGGAGGAAGCCCCGGCUAACUACGUGCCAGCAGCCGCGGUAAUACGUAGGGGGCUAGCGUUAUCCGGAUUUACUGGGCGUAAAGGGUGCGUAGGCGGUCUUUCAAGUCAGGAGUGAAAGGCUACGGCUCAACCGUAGUAAGCUCUUGAAACUGGGAGACUUGAGUGCAGGAGAGGAGAGUGGAAUUCCUAGUGUAGCGGUGAAAUGCGUAGAUAUUAGGAGGAACACCAGUUGCGAAGGCGGCUCUCUGGACUGUAACUGACGCUGAGGCACGAAAGCGUGGGGAGCAAACAGGA
rnacentral:rRNA from 1 species